UUCCAAAGGGAUACCACGGGAAGAACAUAGGAAACCCCGCCGGUUGCCUCGCCGCCUUGGGGCCCCCGACAAGCCUUCAUCGCCCACAUCGGCCAACAUCACCGGGCAACACCAGCCCCGGUGCAGAUGGUGGGAAUCUGGACUGCCCGGAUGCACAUGCAUACAAAAACUGCUCAAGGACACAAUCUCAACCGAACAGCUAUGCAAGCCAGAGGAGGACCAGCUCCAAGCAGCAAACCCAAGAAGGCGACAUGGCUACUGAGCGCCGCGAUGCCCCAAUCGUUUGUCCUCACCUCGUAAAACGCAAAGUUUAUGUAACAACGAAUACCCUACACCUGAGGCCACCUCGGCCGCACAACACACAUUCUCAGUGUUCCCGCCUUUAUAUCAGGUACGAGCUGGAGCAAUGAUUGUCCUUGGUACGGCAAUGAAUCCGAGAACUAUACGAUGUGCGUGGUGCGACAACAAGUCACGAAGUAUGAAGUCUUCCAGCUGCUUAACUAAAUCUGUUGAAUCCGUUUCAUCCAGCGCGGGGUGCAGGGCCCCAAAGGGGAGUUUCCCAGAGCUAAUCCUUUUCCUUUUCCGAGUUAUCAUAUCUUUGCCAUCAGCCAUUCAUCCCCAUGAAUCCAUGCCCCUCUUCCCGGGGGGUUGUCCCGCGGCCUCCCCCUCCCCCUCAUCCCCUACCACACACACACACAGACCUCCAGGGCGCAAGCCAAUCGGCUGCCAUGUGUGCCGCUGCAACCAGGCGACAAGCUGCUGGUCGAUGGCUGCUGGGAGGCAGUUGCUCCUCUGCAUUUGUCGCCUAGUGUAGGAGCUAGCCCCGCUGUAAAUUCCUCUCGAGAUGCUGGUGGAGCGCUUAGCGCGUAUUUGUAGAUGUUAUGUGUGUCGUACUGUGCACCAGCUACUACAGCCAGAGUGCAUGUGCACGAUUAUGACCGAGGCCCCACCCCUGGCGCUAGCCAGGUUCCUCUCGGAAGUCUGGGAGACCCGGCACGUUGCUCUAAGGCACUUCAUG
rnacentral:lncRNA from 1 species